rnacentral:rRNA from 1 species
UACGAACUGUGCGAACGUUAUUCGGAAUCACUGGGCUUAAAGGGUGCGUAGGCGGUUUUCUAAGUCAGGUGUGAAAUCUUCCGGCUCAACCGGAAAACUGCGCCUGAGACUGGAUAACUUGAGUGAGGUAGGGGUGUGUGGAACUUCCGGUGGAGCGGUGAAAUGUGUAGAGAUCGGAAGGAACGCCAGCAGCGAAAGCGGCACACUGGGCCUUUUCUGACGCUGAGGCACGAAAGCUAGGGGAGUGAACGGG